AAUCAACGCUGGCGGCGUGCCUAACACAUGCAAGUCGAACGAGAAAGAGGGGGCAACUCCUCGAGUAAAGUGGCGACCGGGUGAGUAACACGUGACUAACCUACCCUUGAGUGGGGAAUAACCUUCCGAAAGGAGGGCUAAUACCGCAUAACAUCGCGAGGCGAGAUUCCUUGUGAUCAAAGGAGCAAUUCGCUUAAGGAGGGGGUCGCGGCUGAUUAGCUAGUUGGUGAGGUAACGGCUCACCAAGGCGAUGAUCAGUAUCCGGCCUGAGAGGGCGCACGGACACACUGGAACUGAAACACGGUCCAGACUCCUACGGGAGGCAGCAGUGGGGAAUUUUGCGCAAUGGGGGAAACCUUGACGCAGCAACGCCGCGUGGAGGAUGAAGGUCUUUGGAUUGUAAACUCCUUUCGAUCGGGACGAUUAUGACGGUACCGGAAGAAGAAGCACCGGCUAACCCUGUGCCAGCCGCCGCAGUAAUAC
rnacentral:rRNA from 1 species